rnacentral:lncRNA from 1 species
UAGGAUACCCCAAUCCCAGUGACGAAAUACCAUCACUUGAAGACUUUGAGGAUUUAGAUGCAGGAAUCAUUGCUCUGGCUAUUCUUACUGCAAGAAAAAGGGAGUUGGUGCUGGACCCACCACUCAGCAGAAAAAACCUACCAGUCCAGUGGUGCAGAAGCGCUAAUUAUUUUCCACAAACCCGUGCAUCAAUUUAUAUUUUGAUUAUACUAAUAUGUUAAGAUCUACAGUAAACUCAUACAUCAACUAUGGAAAACAGUAUACAGGUUCCUCAAAAAGUUAAAAAUAGCACCACCAUAUGAUUCCAUAAUUCCACCGCAGGUAUAUGCCCAAAGGAAGCAAAAUCACCAUAUGGAAAAGAUAACUACACCUCCCUGUGUGUUGCAGAAUUAUUUAUAAUAACCGUGACAUGAAAGAAAUAUCAGUGUUCACUGCUAGAUGAAUGGG